rnacentral:lncRNA from 1 species
GAACAAAGUUUUCAGAAUAAGCUUUUCAGAAUGUAAAUGAUAGCUUCCAGAAGGACAUUUUCAAAGUAGUAGCGAAGGUAGUAGUAGCGGUGACAGCAAUAAUGGAUGAGGGAGGGUAUUUUAAUCUUUUCUUCAUAGUAUGGUGUGCAGGAAGCAAAACCCUAAGAUCUAUAGUCAAAGGCCCAAGAAUUUGAAGUAGGACUACUUGUUUGUGGGCAAUUUCUUCAUGUACCUCCAUAAUUUCUUCCCGCACCUCCAUAAUUUCUUCCCGCACCUCCAUAAUUAUUUUAAUCCCAAAAAUACCCUUUUACAAAUAGUUUUAGAUUAAGGGUUGUUGAUGUUGGAGGUGCAUGAGACUGGUGUUGUGAUGUUUGGUGGUUUUGUUGAGAGUUCUAGUGAUGAUUUGUGGUUGUUUUUGUUGCGUUGUAGUGGUUGAUGGCGAUAUUUUGUAGUGUUAUUUUGUAGUGUCGUGGUUGGUGAUGGUGUUUUGUGAUUGUGAUGUGAUGAAGUAGUUGAUUUUCUUAUAAGGUGAUAAUUUAUUUGUUAAAUUAAGAAUUGAAUUACGAAUUUUAUUAUCCGUAAACAUUUUGAAUGGU